GCUGGGCGUGGUGGCGCAUGCCUGUAAUCCCAGCUACUGGGGAAGCUGAGGCAGGAGAAUCGCUUGAAGCCAGGAGGCGGAGGUUGCAGUGAGCUGAGAUAGCACCACUGCACUGCAGCCUGGGUGACAGAGCGAGACUCUGUCUCAA
rnacentral:SRP_RNA from 2 species